rnacentral:rRNA from 1 species
UUGCCUACGGGAGGCAGCAGUGGGGAAUAUUGCACAACGGGGGAAACCCUGAUGCAGCGACGCCGCGUGAGUGAAGAAGUAUCUCGGUACGUAAAGCUCUAUCAGCAGGGAAGAAAAAAAGUCUUUGGCUUUGGACGGUAACUGACUAAGAAGCCCCGGCUAACUACGUGCCAGCAUCCGCGGUAAUACGUAGGGGGCAAGCGUUAUCCGGAUUUACUGGGGGUAAAGGUAGCGUAGACGGCAGCGCAAGUCUGGAGUGAAAU